AUUCUGAAAUUUAGUUUCCAAAUACUUUUAAUAGUGUAGAUCAAGUCUAACGGAGCCGAUCGUCGAUUUGGAAGCUGCAUUAUCGAAAAUAAUUUGGUAGCACGGAAGCCUCCAUGCUACCAAUAGUAUAGCAGCCGGACUCUAUAUAUAUAUAUAUAUAUAUAGAGAGAGAGAGAGAGAGAGAGAGAGAGUAUGUCUUGUGUGCUAUUAGGAGCACGGAUGUUUCCGUACUCCUAAACCAUUUUCGAUGAUGGAACUUUUGAAUCAACGAUCGACUCUAUUAGACUUGAUCUAACAUAUUUAAAGUAUUUAGAAAAUAAAUUUUGUGAUUUUUCGAUAUCAUUUACCUAGCGAUCAAAAAGGUUCAAAAAGCAAUAAUUUUUAAUGGAUGGUGUAUACUGUUUACAAGUUUAACGGUAUAGAAGUAUUUAAAUCAGAUAAAAUUUUGAUAGAAAAUUCUUUAUACUAUAUACAGUAAGUUUAGUAUCCAUGAUUGAAAAUUUUAAUACUAUAUCUCCACUUUUUGUGUGAUUUUAAUUUUCAGCCGUUGAUUUUGAGCACUUUCGAUCGCUAGGUAAAUGAUAUCGAAAAAUCACAAAUUUUGUUUUCUGAAUAGUUCAAAUACGCUAGAUCAAAUCUAACAGAGCCGAUCAUCGAAUCGAGAGUUUUAUCAUCGAAAACGACUUAAAACUAUGGAGGCCUCUGCGCUCCUAAUCGCACGGGACCUACUCUCUCUCUCUCUCUCUCUCUCUCUCUAUAUAUAUAUAUAUAUAACAAAUUUUUACUAUUUGGAGUUUCGGCCAACCAAAAAAUCUACAUUUUGUAAAUUUUAAUUAUUAAUUAAAAUUUUAAUUUUUUUAAUUUUCUUUCAAUUUUUCGUUUUGUAGUAGGGCUGACAAUUUGAGUUGUUGUUCGCAAGCCAGCUCGUGCUCGACUC
rnacentral:lncRNA from 1 species